GAUGAAGAACGCAGCGAAAUGCGAUAAGUAAUGUGAAUUGCAGAAUUCAGUGAAUCAUCGAAUCUUUGAACGCACCUUGCACCCUUUGGUAUUCCGAAUGGUAUGCUCGUUUGAGUGUCAUUGUACUCUCACACUUCUAAUUCCUUUCGGGAUUGGGAGCGGUGGACUUGGGUGUUGCUGCUUUAGUUGUGGCUCACCUCAAAUAAGUUAGUGCAACUCUUGGUUGGACAUAGUACGGCGUGAUAAGUGUCUUCGCCGGCGCCUCUGUAAGGAGGGUGGCCGAUCGGGAGCUCUGUGCUUCAAACCGUCUUCGGACAAUCUUUGACAACUUGACCUCAAAUCGAGUAGGACUACCCGCUGAACUUAAGCAUAUCAAUAAGCGGAGGA
rnacentral:misc_RNA from 1 species